GUCGAACGAACUCUGGUAUUGAUUGGUGCUUGCAUCAUGAUUUACAUUUGAGUGAGUGGCGAACUGGUGAGUAACACGUGGGAAACCUGCCCAGAAGCGGGGGAUAACACCUGGAAACAGAUGCUAAUACCGCAUAACAACUUGGACCGCAUGGUCCGAGUUUGAAAGAUGGCUUCGGCUAUCACUUUUGGAUGGUCCCGCGGCGUAUUAGCUAGAUGGUGGGGUAACGGCUCACCAUGGCAAUGAUACGUAGCCGACCUGAGAGGGUAAUCGGCCACAUUGGGACUGAGACACGGCCCAAACUCCUACGGGAGGCAGCAGUAGGGAAUCUUCCACAAUGGACGAAAGUCUGAUGGAGCAACGCCGCGUGAGUGAAGAAGGGUUUCGGCUCGUAAAACUCUGUUGUUAAAGAAGAACAUAUCUGAGAGUAACUGUUCAGGUAUUGACGGUAUUUAACCAGAAAGCCACGGCUAACUACGUGCCAGCAGCCGCGGUAAUACGUAGGUGGCAAGCGUUGUCCGGAUUUAUUGGGCGUAAAGCGAGCGCAGGCGGUUUUUUAAGUCUGAUGUGAAAGCCUUCGGCUCAACCGAAGAAGUGCAUCGGAAACUGGGAAACUUGAGUGCAGAAGAGGACAGUGGAACUCCAUGUGUAGCGGUGAAAUGCGUAGAUAUAUGGAAGAACACCAGUGGCGAAGGCGGCUGUCUGGUCUGUAACUGACGCUGAGGCUCGAAAGUAUGGGUAGCAAACAGGAUUAGAUACCCUGGUAGUCCAUACCGUAAACGAUGAAUGCUAAGUGUUGGAGGGUUUCCGCCCUUCAGUGCUGCAGCUAACGCAUUAAGCAUUCCGCCUGGGGAGUACGGCCGCAAGGCUGAAACUCAAAGGAAUUGACGGGGGCCCGCACAAGCGGUGGAGCAUGUGGUUUAAUUCGAAGCUACGCGAAGAACCUUACCAGGUCUUGACAUACUAUGCAAAUCUAAGAGAUUAGACGUUCCCUUCGGGGACAUGGAUACAGGUGGUGCAUGGUUGUCGUCAGCUCGUGUCGUGAGAUGUUGGGUUAAGUCCCGCAACGAGCGCAACCCUUAUUAUCAGUUGCCAGCAUUAAGUUGGGCACUCUGGUGAGACUGCCGGUGACAAACCGGAGGAAGGUGGGGAUGACGUCAAAUCAUCAUGCCCCUUAUGACCUGGGCUACACACGUGCUACAAUGGAUGGUACAACGAGUUGCGAACUCGCGAGAGUAAGCUAAUCUCUUAAAGCCAUUCUCAGUUCGGAUUGUAGGCUGCAACUCGCCUACAUGAAGUCGGAAUCGCUAGUAAUCGCGGAUCAGCAUGCCGCGGUGAAUACGUUCCCGGGCCUUGUACACACCGCCCGUCACACCAUGAGAGUUUGUAACACCCAAAGUCGGUGGGGUAA
rnacentral:rRNA from 2 species